rnacentral:rRNA from 1 species
CCUACGGGUGGCAGCAGUGAGGAAUAUUGGUCAAUGGACGAGAGUCUGAACCAGCCAAGUAGCGUGAAGGAUGACGGCUCUAUGGGUUGUAAACUUCUUUUAUAAAGGAAUAAAACGAGGCACGUGUGCCGUUUUGCAUGUACUUUAUGAAUAAGGAUCGGCUAACUCCGUGCCAGCAGCCGCGGUAAUACGGAGGAUCCGAGCGUUAUCCGGAUUUAUUGGGUUUAAAGGGAGCGUAGAUGGGUUGUUAAGUCAGUUGUGAAAGUUUGUGGCUCAACCGUAAAAUUGCAGUUGAUACUGGCAGUCUUGAGGACAGUUGAGGUAGGCGGAAUUCGUGGUGUAGCGGUGAAAUGCUUAGAUAUCACGCAGAACCCCGAUUGCGAAGGCAGCUUACUAAACUGUGACUGACAUUGAUGCUCGAAAGUGUGGGUAUCAAACAGGAUUAGAUACCCCAGUAGUC